rnacentral:rRNA from 1 species
AUUGAACGCUGGCGGAAUGCUUUACACAUGCAAGUCGAACGGCAGCACGGGGGCAACCCUGGUGGCGAGUGGCGAACGGGUGAGUAAUACAUCGGAACGUGCCCAGUCGUGGGGGAUAACGCAGCGAAAGUUACGCUAAUACCGCAUACGAUCUACGGAUGAAAGCGGGGGACCGUAAGGCCUCGCGCGAUUGGAGCGGCCGAUGUCAGAUUAGGUAGUUGGUGAGGUAAAGGCUCACCAAGCCGACGAUCUGUAGCUGGUCUGAGAGGACGACCAGCCACACUGGGACUGAGACACGGCCCAGACUCCUACGGGAGGCAGCAGUGGGGAAUUUUGGACAAUGGGCGCAAGCCUGAUCCAGCCAUUCCGCGUGCAGGACGAAGGCCUUCGGGUUGUAAACUGCUUCUGUACGGAACGAAAAGGCUCUGGUUAAUACCUGGGGCUCAUGGCGGUACCGUAAGAAUAAGCACCGGCUAACUACGUGCCAGCCGCCGCAGUAA